rnacentral:rRNA from 1 species
UACGUAGGGGGCAAGCGUUGUCCGGAUUUAUUGGGCGUAAAGAGCUCGUAGGUGGUUUGGUAAGUCGGAUGUGAAAUCUCCAGGCUCAACCUGGAGGGGUCAUUCGAUACUGCCAUGACUAGAGGUCGGUAGGGGAGUGUGGAAUUCCUGGUGGAGCGGUGAAAUGCGCAGAUAUCAGGAAGAACACCAAUGGCGAAGGCAGCUCUCUGGGACGGUACUGACGCUGAGACGCGAAAGCGUGGGGAGCGAACAGG